rnacentral:tRNA from 2 species
GCUGGUUUAGCUCAGUUGGCAGAGCAACUGAUUCGUAAUCAGUGGGUCAGGGGUUCAAAUCCUCUAACCAGCACCA